CCGGGUUUGGUGGAUUCUCAAAUAUCAAGGAGUCGAGGACGUGCGGCUUUUGAACGGCGGUUGGAAGACGUGGGAGGCGAGCGGGCUCCCCACGUCUUCUGGGGCGGGCGAGCCGGUUCAGCCGGUCGCCUUUGUUCCUAAGCGUCGCCUGGAACGCUUUGCGAGCAAGGGGCAAGUCCUCGACCUGCUGAAGGAAGGCCAGUGGCAGAUCGUCGACGCCCGGUCCGAGGACGAGUUCUGCGGCACCGAUGCACUGCAGAACGAGCGGGCGGGGGCUAUCCCCGGUGCCAAGAAUCUUGAAUGGAGCGAACUGGUUGACGAGAAGUCGCAUCGAUUCAAGACGGCCAGCGAGCUUCGGCGGUUGUUCGACGAAGCGGGCAUCGAUUUAAACCGGCCGACCGUAAGCCACUGCCAGUCUGGGGGACGGGCGUCGGUCAUGGCGUUCGGUUUGGA
rnacentral:misc_RNA from 1 species